UACGAACUGUGCAAACGUUAUUCGGAAUCACUGGGCUUACAGGGUGCGUAGGCGGCCUGACAAGUAGGGUGUGAAAGCCCCCGGCUCAACCGGGGAAUGGCGCCCUAAACUGUCGGGCUGGAGUGAGAUAGGGGUGUGCGGAACUUCCGGUGGAGCGGUGAAAUGUGUUGAUAUCGGAAGGAACGCCGGUGGCGAAGGCGGAUCUCUGGUACGUGACUGACGCUGAGACGCGAAAGCGUGGGGAGCAAACAGG
rnacentral:rRNA from 1 species